rnacentral:rRNA from 1 species
AGAGUUUGAUCCUGGCUCAGAUUGAACGCUGGCGGCAUGCCUUACACAUGCAAGUCGAACGGCAGCACGGGGGCAACCCUGGUGGCGAGUGGCAACGGGUGAGUAAUACAUCGGAACGUGUCCUGUAGUGGGGGAUAGCCCGGCGAAAGCCGGAUUAAUACCGCAUACGAUCUGUGGAUGAAAGCGGGGGAUCUUAGGACCUCGCGCUAACAGGGGCGGCCGAUGGCAGAUUAGCUAGUUGGUGGGGUAAAGGCCUACCAAGGCGACGAUCUGUAGCUGGUCUGAGAGGACGACCAGCCACACUGGGACUGAGACACGGCCCAGACUCCUACGGGAGGCAGCAGUGGGGAAUUUUGGACAAUGGGCGCAAGCCUGAUCCAGCAAUGCCGCGUGUGUGAAGAAGGCCUUCGGGUUGUAAAGCACUUUUGUCCGGAAAGAAAACCUCGUGGCUAAUACCUAUGGGGGAUGACGGUACCGGAAGAAUAAGCACCGGCUAACUACGUGCCAGCAGCCGCGGUAAUACGUAGGGUGCAAGCGUUAUCGGAAUUACUGGGCGUAAAGCGUGCGCAGGCGGUUCGCUAAGACAGAUGUGAAAUCCCCGGGCUUAACCUGGGAACUGCAUUUGUGACUGGCGGGCUAGAGUAUGGCAGAGGGGGGUAGAAUUCCACGUGUAGCAGUGAAAUGCGUAGAGAUGUGGAGGAAUACCGAUGGCGAAGGCAGCCCCCUGGGCCAAUACUGACGCUCAUGCACGAAAGCGUGGGGAGCAAACAGGAUUAGAUACCCCUGGUAGUCCACGCCCUAAACGAUGUCAACUAGUUGUCGGGUCUUCAUUGACUUGGUAACGUAGCUAACGCGUGAAGUUGACCGCCUGGGGAGUACGGUCGCAAGAUUAAAACUCAAAGGAAUUGACGGGGACCCGCACAAGCGGUGGAUGAUGUGGAUUAAUUCGAUGCAACGCGAAAAACCUUACCUACCCUUGACAUGUAUGGAAUCCUGCUGAGAGGUGGGAGUGCCCGAAAGGGANCCAUAANACAGGUGCUGCAUGGCUGUCGUC